GACGAACGCUGGCGGCGUGCCUAAUACAUGCAAGUCGAACGCAGUGGGGACGGGUGAGUAACACGUGGGUAACCUCCCAUCAGAGGGGAUAACACUUGGAAACAGGCGCUAAACCGACACUGAUGGAUGGACCCGCGGUGCAUUAGCUAGUUGGUGAGGUAACGGCGCACCAAGGCCACGAUUCAUGGCCGACCUGUGAGGGGUAUCGGCCACACUGGAACUGAGCCACGGCCCAGACUCCAACGGGAGGCAGCAGUGGGGAAUCUUCGGCAAUGGACGAAAGUCUGACCGAGCAAGGCCGCGUGGGUGAAGAAGGUUUUCGGAUCGUAAGACUCUGUUGUUAGGGAGGCGGUAUCUAACCAGAAAGCCACGGCUAACUACGUGCCAGCAGCCGCGGUAAUAC
rnacentral:rRNA from 1 species